rnacentral:rRNA from 1 species
UACGUAGGGGGCAAGCGUUGUCCGGAUUUAUUGGGCGUAAAGAGCGUGUAGGCGGCUUGCCAGGUCUGCUGUGAAAACUCGAGGCUCAACCUCGAGAUGUCGGCGGAAACCGUCUGGCUAGAGUCCGGAAGAGGAGAGUGGAAUUCCUGGUGUAGCGGUGAAAUGCGCAGAUAUCAGGAAGAACACCUAUGGCGAAGGCAGCACUCUGGUACAUGACUGACGCUGAGACGCGAAAGCGUGGGUAGCAAACAGG